rnacentral:rRNA from 1 species
CCUACGGGCGGCAGCAGUGGGGAAUAUUGCACAAUGGGGGAAACCCUGAUGCAGCGACGCCGCGUGAGUGAAGAAGUACUUCGUUAUGUAAAGCUCUAUCAGCAGGGAAGAACAUGACGGUACCUGAGUAAGAAGCCCCGGCUAACUACGUGCCAGCAGCCGCGGUAAUACGUAGGGGGCAAGCGUUAUCCGGAUUUACUGGGUUAAAAGGGUGCGUAGGGGGAAUGCCAAGUCAGCGGUAAAAGCUCGGGGCUAAACCUCGCUCGGCCGUUGCAACUGGCGUUCUUGGGUGGGCGAGAAGUAUGCGGAAUGCGUGGUGUGGCGGUGAAAUGCAUAG